ACAAGCGACACUGCGACUUGGUGAGAAUUUGUCUGUUUUCUUCGGGUCGUCGUUGUCGUCCUGCUCGGGAGCCUCGGCGUGGGCUGGGGUCCAGGAGGUUCCCCUCACUUUCUGAUCCUCAAAUCCUUCCGGUCACUGGAUGAGCGUAAACUGCCAGUCCUGACAUGAGGUUAAAGUGGAUGAUGCUGCUGCUGGUCCUGGCGGUUCUGGUGCCAAGCCUGUCCCAGAGCCGCAUGAUCACCAGAUGUGAACUCAAGAGUAGACUCGAAGAGGCCAUCAAGCUACCUGUUGGCCUCGAAAGGUUCAAAGAGAGUCUCUUGUCAGUCGUAAUAUGUGAAUUGGAGCGAAUGUCAAAUCUGAACACCAGCAUGGUCAGGACGACCAUGCUGGUCUCCCCUGACUCGACAACCACCACCACAAAAGCCCCUGCACCUGCAGCAUCGACCAACACCACAAGAGCCCCUGCAGCUCAAGAAACAACUACCACCACAACAGCCCCUGCACCUCAAGAA